rnacentral:rRNA from 1 species
UACGGAGGGAGCUAGCGUUGUUCGGAAUUACUGGGCGUAAAGCGUACGUAGGCGGUUAUUCAAGUCAGAGGUGAAAGCCCGGGGCUCAACCCCGGAACUGCCUUUGAAACUAGAUAGCUAGAAUCUUGGAGAGGUCAGUGGAAUUCCGAGUGUAGAGGUGAAAUUCGUAGAUAUUCGGAAGAACACCAGUGGCGAAGGCGACUGACUGGACAAGUAUUGACGCUGAGGUACGAAAGCGUGGGGGAGCAAACAGG